AUUGAACGCUGGCGGAAUGCCUAACACAUGCAAGUCGAGCGGGGUGUAGCAAUACACCUAGCGGCGGACGGGUGAGGAAUACAUAGGAAUCUACCUUUUUGUGGGGAUAGCCCGGGGAAACCCGGAUUAAUACCGCAUGAUCUCGCAAGAGCAAAGCGGGGGACCGGUAAGGCCUCGCGCUGAAAGAUGAGCCUAUGUCGGAUUAGCUAGUUGGCGGGGUAAAGGCCCACCAAGGCGACGAUCCGUAGCUGGUCUGAGAGGACGAUCAGCCACACCGGAACUGAGACACGGUCCGGACUCCUACGGGAGGCAGCAGUGGGGAAUAUUGGACAAUGGGCGCAAGCCUGAUCCAGCAAUUCCGCGUGUGUGAAGAAGGCCUUCGGUUGUAAG
rnacentral:rRNA from 1 species